rnacentral:rRNA from 1 species
UACGAAGGGGGCUAGCGUUGCUCGGAAUCACUGGGCGUAAAGCGCACGUAGGCGGCUUCUUAAGUCAGGGGUGAAAUCCUGGAGCUCAACUCCAGAACUGCCUUUGAUACUGAGGAGCUCGAGUCCGGGAGAGGUGAGUGGAACUCCGAGUGUAGAGGUGAAAUUCGUAGAUAUCGGGAGGAAUACCAGUGGCGAAGGCGCUGGGCUGGACGGUCAUUGACGCUGAGGUGCGAAAGCGUGGGGAGCAAACAGG